GCACGAUCUUUCAUUUCUUGCUCACUGUAAGAAAGCUCAAUGUUCAAUCGCUCACUGUCUCCUACCUCGUCGAAGACGCCCUCUUCAAAAUAUAAUUGCUAUAUUCCCUUCUUUUAAUUUCUUCUCUUCAGUACCUUCUUCUUCUUCUUCUUUGUCACCCCAACAUCCUCUUCCUACUCGCUACAAGCUUAACCACAAGGAUUGGCUGUCUCCAAAUGAAAUUUUAAGCAUUUUUCAAAACCUUAAAGACCCAAAUUCAGUGAUCUCCGUCUGGAAUCAAUAUUCAAAGCGAAAAGACUACAAACCUAAUGAAGUUAUUUACACCCUUGUCAUAAACCAGCUUGCCCAAGCUAAAAACUUUGAUGCCAUUGAAGAUAUCAUGCAAAGAAUCAAACUUGAAAAGUCCUGCCGUUUGUCAAAUGAUUUCUUUUACAAUGUGAUCAAGAUUUAUGGCCAUUUAGCGGGUCGAAUCAAGAAAGCAAUAGAAACCCUUCUUGAUAUGCCAAAGGGUUAUAAUUGUUGGCCAACUGUGAAAACUUU
rnacentral:misc_RNA from 1 species